UACGUAGGGGGGCAAGCGUUGUCCGGAAUUAUUGGGCGUAAAGAGCGCGCAGGCGGUAUGACAAGUCAGAUGUGAAAGAGGCCGGCUUAACCGGCAAGGGUCAUUUGAAACUGUCAGACUAGAGUGCAGCAGAGGAUAGUGGAAUUCCCGGUGUAGUGGUGAAAUGCGCAGAUAUCAGGAGGAACACCGGUGGCGAAGGCGGGGUCUCUGGGGCAGUAACUGACGCUGAGGAGCGAAAAGCGUGGGGGAGCGAACAGG
rnacentral:rRNA from 1 species